AUUGAACGCUGGCGGCAGGCCUAACACAUGCAAGUCGAACGAGUGGCGGACGGGUGAGUAAUGUCUGGUAAUCUGCCUGUUGGAGGGGGCUAUCUACUGUAAACGGUAGCUAAUACCGCAUACCAUCAGAUGUGCCCCGAUGGGAUUAGCUUGUUGGUGGGGUAACGGCUCACCAAGGCGACGAUCCCUAGCUGGUCUGAGAGGCGGACCAGCCACACUGGAACUGAGACACGGUCCAGACUCCUACGGGAGGCAGCAGUGGGGAAUAUUGCACAAUGGGGGCAAGCCUGAUGCAGCCAUGCCGCUUGUAUGAAGAAGGCCUUAGGGUUGUAAAGUACUUGCAGCGGGGAGGCGUUACCCGCAGAAGAAGAACCGGCUAACUCCGUGCCAGCCGCCGCGGUAAUAC
rnacentral:rRNA from 1 species